AAAUUUGAGCCAACUCUGGGAGAUAGUGAAGGACAGGGAAGCCUGGCAUGUUGCAGUCCAUGGGGUUGCAAAGAGUCGGACAUGACUUAGCAACUGAACAACAACAACAGAAGGUAAACUGGCAGGAUGAUGAGAGGGCAAGGCAUCCAGUAUCUACCUGUUCCCCAUACAGACUUCCAAUUCAGUGCUGUUGUCUUGCCCCUUUCACACCUGCUUUCAGAGAGACACACUUCAGUUCACUGUGACUGCGGUUCUACAGCCAGAAUCAGCAUGCUUCCUCUAUCAUCACCCUCUGCAGAAGCACAUGUUUCAUUUUCCUGGCUCUGCUAAGUCCAUGUCCCUGGAGCCCUCUCUCCCCCCACCUCUCUCUCAUUAGUGACCAAGGUCUUUGGAUCUACCUCUUUAAUACCUCUCCUCAUUCUCUCUCCUCCAUUCCCAUUUCUAAUGCCUCAGUAUAAGCCCCUAUCUUUUUUUUCCAGGUCAACUGUAAUUUAAAGAUUAUCUCUGUCUAGGAGUCCCAUCUCCUGGUAUUCAAUUGAACACUCACCCAGCUGUCUUUCUUAGGUGGUGCUUCCAUGUCUGCUGGAGAAGAAAUAAUAGGAUGUGUUAGAAGUGGCUGGAAUGAGCUGUAAAUUCAGCUAAGAAGGGAAUUAUGAUUGUGUAAAGAGAAGACCAGUACUUCAACUAAGACUAUGGUUACAAAAAUGAAAAGGAGAGGACUGGAGGAAGUAUUGAGAAAAACAAAAUAGGCUUCCCAAGUGACACCAGUGGUAAGGAAUCUGCCUGCCAAUGCAGGAGAUGUGGG